rfam:Picea glauca, whole genome shotgun sequence.
GUACAUAAUUAUAGCAUAGCGUUAAUGCACUGAAUCCCAUUAGAACUCUGCAGUUAAGUGCACUUGGGAUAGAGUAGUAUUGGGAUGGGUAACCACCUGUGAAGUCCUAGUGUUUUACAUG